CGCGUAGGCGGUUUGAUAAGUCGGAUGUGAAAGCCCCGGGCUCAACCUGGGAAUUGCAUUCGAUACUGUCUGACUAGAGUAUGAUAGAGGGUAGUGGAAUUCCCGGUGUAGCGGUGAAAUGCAUAGAUAUCGGGAGGAACAUCAGUGGCGAAGGCGACUACCUGGAUCAAUACUGACGCUGAGGUGCGAAAGCGGUGGGGAGCAAACA
rnacentral:rRNA from 1 species